AUUGAACGCUGGCGGCAUGCUUUACACAUGCAAGUCGAACGGUAACAGGCCGCAAGGUGCUGACGAGCGGCGAACGGGUGAGUAAUGCAUCGGAACGUGCCCAGUCGUGGGGGAUAACGCAGCGAAAGCUGCGCUAAUACCGCAUACGAUCUAUGGAUGAAAGCGGGGGACCGUAAGGCCUCGCGCGAUUGGAGCGGCCGAUGUCAGAUUAGGUAGUUGGUGGGGUAAAGGCUCACCAAGCCAACGAUCUGUAGCUGGUCUGAGAGGACGACCAGCCACACUGGGACUGAGACACGGCCCAGACUCCUACGGGAGGCAGCAGGGGGGAAUUUUGGACAAUGGGCGCAAGCCUGAUCCAGCAAUGCCGCGUGCAGGAAGAAGGCCUUCGGGUUGUAAACUGCUUUUGUACGGAACGAAACGGUCCUGGUUAAUACCCGGGGCUAAUGACGGUACCGUAAGAAUAAGCACCGGCUAACUACGUGCCAGCCGCCGCCGUAA
rnacentral:rRNA from 1 species